rnacentral:rRNA from 1 species
GAGUUUGAUCAUGGCUCAGGACGAACGCUGGCGGCGUGCCUAACACAUGCAAGUCGAACGGACUUCAUCGGAGCUUGCUCUGAUGAAGUUAGUGGCGGACGGGUGAGUAACGCGUGAGCAACCUGCCUUACAGAGGGGGACAACAUUGGGAAACCGAUGCUAAUACCGCAUAAGAUUAUAGAACCGCAUGGUUUAGUAAUCAAAGGAGCAAUCCGCUGUAAGAUGGGCUCGCGUCCGAUUAGAUAGUAGGCGGGGUAACGGCCCACCUAGUCGACGAUCGGUAGCCGGACUGAGAGGUUGAACGGCCACAUUGGGACUGAGAUACGGCCCAGACUCCUACGGGAGGCAGCAGUGGGGGAUAUUGCACAAUGGGGGAAACCCUGAUGCAGCAACGCCGCGUGAGGGAAGAAGGUCCU